CCUCUCCCCUCAAUAGCAGCCCUUUCUCAAAAUCUCAGGUUACUUUGCUUAAAGAGUUCUCAGCCCUAUAGUUUCUGCCCUUGUCUCUGCCUCCAGCUCCUUAAGAGCCACCCAGCCCCAGCGAUUGGAUUGGGCAGCCCGUCUUGACACACCACUGUGCCGAGUGCUUGAGGACGUGUUUCAACAGAUGGUUGGGGUUAGUGUGUGUCAUCACACUCGAGUGGGGAUUAGGGGAGAGAGGCAGCCUUGCUGGAGCUGUGUGGUCUUCCCCAAGUGCGAGCUUGCAAGCAAAAGAAGAACUACCUAGCUCUGGGGGAGAAGAGAGAGGGAGGAAUCGUUUCCAGCAGCUCGGAGGGGAAAAAAUAAAACCCCACACUUGGUUCAGAAAAAAAAGACUGAACUGAGGAAGAGUGGAAAAAUAAUGACAAUAUUUCUUUCCUACAUAAGAAAAAGGUUUUGCCUAUAAUAAUUUCACCAAUCAAGACAUGCAGACUUCUGUCCGAUGCUAUGAAAAUUAACCGAGGCACAUUAACUGCAGGAAAUCUUCAAAGGUACAAAAAUAAAAUGCUUAUUCAGUAAUUAAUUAAACCA
rnacentral:lncRNA from 1 species